rnacentral:rRNA from 1 species
AGUGAACGCUGGCGGUAGGCCUAACACAUGCAAGUCGAACGGCAGCACAGUAAGAGCUUGCUCUUACGGGUGGCGAGUGGCGGACGGGUGAGGAAUACAUCGGAAUCUACUUUUUCGUGGGGGAUAACGUAGGGAAACUUACGCUAAUACCACAUACGACCUACGGGUGAAAGCAGGGGAUCUUCGGACCUUGCGCGAUUGAAUGAGCCGAUGUCGGAUUAGCUAGUUGGCGGGGUAAAGGCCCACCAAGGCGACGAUCCGUAGCUGGUCUGAGAGGAUGAUCAGCCACACUGAAACUGAGACACGGUCCAGACUCCUACGGGAGGCAGCAGUGGGGAAUAUUGGACAAUGGGCGCAAGCCUGAUCCAGCCAUACCGCGUGGUGAAGAAGGCCUUCGGGUUGUAAAGCCCUUUUGUUGGGAAAGAAAAGCAGCAGGUUAAUACCCCGCUGUUCUGACGGUACCCAAAGAAUAAGCACCGGCUAACUUCGUG